AGUGAACGCUGGCGGUAGGCCUAACACAUGCAAGUCGAACGGCAGCACAGUAAGAGCUUGCUCUUACGGGUGGCGAGUGGCGGACGGGUGAGGAAUACAUCGGAAUCUACUUUUUCGUGGGGGAUAACGUAGGGAAACUUACGCUAAUACCGCAUACGACCUACGGGUGAAAGCAGGGGAUCUUCGGACCUUGCGCGAUUGAAUGCGCCGAUGUCGGAUUAGCUAGUUGGCUGGGUAAAGGCCCACCAAGGCGACGAUCCGUAGCUGGUCUGAGAGGAUGAUCAGCCACACUGGAACUGAGACACGGUCCAGACUCCUACGGGAGGCAGCAGUGGGGAAUAUUGGACAAUGGGCGCAAGCCUGAUCCAGCCAUACCGCGUGGGUGAAGAAGGCCUUCGGGUUGUAAAGCCCUUUUGUUGGGAAAGAAAAGCAGCAGGUUAAUACCCCGCUGUUCUGACGGUACCCAAAGAAUAAGCACCGGCUAACUUCGUG
rnacentral:rRNA from 1 species